AUUCAAUAUGUAUUUAAGCACUUGCUGUGUCCAGGGCUAGCACCAAGCUCUGGGAAAACAAUGGUGAACAAAGGUAUGCUUUGACCUCAUGGAGAUGACAGUCUAUGGAGGAGACAGAUACAAAAGAGUCACCCCAGCAGAUGUAAAAUUAACAAAGGUAGGGACUUCCCGGAAGUCCAGUGAAUAAGAAUCCGUGCCUUCACUGCAGGGGGCACGGGGUUCCAUCCCUGGUCAGGGAACUAAGAUCCUGCAUGGCACAUGGCACCGUGCAGCCGAAGGAAAACACGAAAACAAAAUCCACAAGGGUGACAAGUUCUACUGAUGCCUCCGGUAAGGACACUUGAGUGUAUCAGGGAAGGCCUCCCUGAGGACGUGAGCUGAAACAUGAUGGGAGUUAACUGGGUGAAGAUGAAGAAGAAAAGGAUCCUGAACUUAGGAAACACCACCCUGGGCCCCAGGAGAAGGGGGUCUGAGCAGGUUUGUGGCUGCUGUGGGCCAGCAGGAAGGAAACACGGAUGGAAAGAGAUGUAGUUUUGAAGAGACUUUUAGCAACUAAAGAGAGUCCAGCAAUGGAUUGAGCAGAUAGAGUGAGGGAGAGGGAGGUGUCCAGGAUGGCUCCUGGGUGCUGAUUUGGGUUCCUGGGUAAACUUGUUUUCUUUGUUCUAUCGAACACUGCCUUAUACGAAAGAUUUGAAGGUGGUCACUGGGAGCACAAGUUUGUGCAAAAGGUAAAUCGGCCUAAAAAGUCGUUUUCAACGGGUAGUACUUUUUUUGGUUACCAAAAUGACUGAAGGGCAUUCAGUGUCAGGGACACUGAACAGUCCUACAGAGAGGGCAAGAGUGUCACAUGCUAAGAACUGUUUCACCCUGAAUGCCAAUAGCACCCUUGCGAAGAGGCACUGUAUAAAAUGCAAUGUGUUAAGAAAUUAUAGGAUGCUCUAGGAACACUUGGGGGAACAGUCUUUUCUCCCAUAAUACAAUUCUUUGGAUGCAAUGAUGGAAUGAACAGACAGGCAGCACAAAAACACCUGUCUCACUUCCAAUCUUAACCUUACUUUUUUGACAGGGGAUAAGAUAUCUAGGAAUCUUUUAGCAAGAAUAUAUAUUAACGACAGUCUUCAUUAAAGUACACACAAUAUUUUGCAUCAGUUCUUCCCCCGCCUGUUAACGCUCUUCAUUCCGGUGUCCGCUCCCUCUCACCUCCAUCCCACAUCCAGUCCAUCACUUUCCGCCUCCUUAGUGGGUGUUCUGCUGCCCUCACAGCACAGGUCUCAAUGGGAAAAUCAACCUUCGUUUCCUUGGUCACCUGCCUCCUCCGUUAGUGAAUUUCGUGAAAUCAGAGGUGCCGCCGGCUCAGCUCCACGCUCGGUUCUUAGGACCCAGUUUCGCGUCUAGCGCUUGAAAGGAUGGAGUCUCCAUACUAUUUCGGGGGGAUGGCGUGCUCCACAGAUCCACUACGGUCCACCCUCACGACUCGAGCCGCGAGCCCUCAACCCUGAUUUCUCACUUCCACGCGCUGGGCGAACUCUCCG
rnacentral:lncRNA from 1 species